rnacentral:lncRNA from 1 species
CAGUCUGCGGCGGGGGCUUUGUUCUGAGUGAAGCAAGCGGGCGGCAGAGCUGGAGGUUUCACAAGGCUGCUGGGAGAGGCUUCGGUGCAGGAACCCAAGUCCAAGUUUGCUUCUUAGGAUGUGUAAAGCAUGGUCUUUAAGAAAGAGAACCUGGAUUUCAUUGAAUUGUAUUUAUGUCGAAUCACGAUUCUCUUGUGCAAUUAUUAGCAUGAACUCUGUGCAUGAAAGCAACAUCAGGAGUCUGCCUGGGUCCGAGAGGAGUUCAGCCUUACUACAGCCUCAGAUGAGAACAGGAGUGGGACCAGCUCUGAGUUAGAUGAAACCCAGAAGACUUCAGAGAAAGUCCUCUAUCACUUCCAGCCCAGCCCAGUAAGGGAAACUGGGACUCUUCCUCCUUUUGUUCUACUCAAGUUGCUGCUUCCAAGGCUCUGUGACCGACAAGGGAUGGACUGGACUAUUAAUCUAAAAUGUUUAAUUUUUAAAGUCAUUUGUCAUAGAGAGUCACAACCCCGAGCAAUGAAAAUAUUUUUUAAUUCAUAGGACACCUGCUGGGAGAAGUGUGCUCCUGUUACUCAGAAUUCUGCAAGUGAAAGUAAAAUGUGUUGGGGAUAGUUCCUCCCUAAUCUCCAUUGGGAAGUUUGCAUCUGGAUCCCAGUUGUAUACAGUUUUUGUUAAUUUAUGCUUGUGUGAACAGCUGCCUGAGACAGACCAUAUUUGGAUUUAGCAAGUGUUUCUGUUCCUUCAAAAAAAAAAUAUAUCAAAACAAAACAACUCCACAGUAAUGACAAUGAAGGCUUUCAAAAGAAUUCUGGAAACUCAGGUUCCCAGAAGUGGCCCAAUAACAUGAAGAUAUGAAACAAGGUCUCUACUAUGUCAGAGACAUCGCCAUGUUAGUUAGCUGUCAACUGACAUCUAACAGAAGCCUUUUCACAUGACUCUCUGUCAGACAUCCCUGAUAACCGUGUGCACACUUUCCCUGUGUCACAUCACCACUCCACCAGUGGUGUCAGGAGGAAAGACAACAAAGGCCAGAACUGUUACUGCUGAGACAGAAAGAAGACUGUAUCAGUAGCAUGACUCUUUAAUCACUGUUAUGUACAAUUUAUCAUCUGACAGACUUACAGGGAAUAAAUAAAGGAAAAUAGACAAUUGGCACCACGUUCCAUUCCUUUUUCUAGUACAGAGAAUAUUUCUGUAGCCAUUUCAGAAUGACUAUGACCAUGUUAAGCAGAAAUUAAAUCCAUUUGCUGUUUAGCUCUUGACAAAACACAUUACCCACCACAGGCUAUUGAAUAAGGCCCAGAUGUUGUCUCCUCAUAGAAGAGUCCACCACAGUGCUGCAGGAAGUCGGUCCUUGGGAACAGGACAUGGGGCAAGAAGAAGAGAAUCCAUCCAUAGCAAAGAACCAUUUUGUACUGAAAGUAACGACCUGUGCUUUCCCUUGACAAAUGUUUGUGCUUGCAGAUCAGCCUGGCAACUUGGAUCUGCUCUCCUAUAAGACCUGUAAGGUUACUGGCAAGGUGUCUGUAGGAGAAACUAUAUAGCUUUUUUCAGAGGUCAAAGGUAUACACUGUCUGUAGAACACGUUUUCCUUUGUUCUCUUUGAGAGUAAGCCCUCUGUUAUAAAGCGCUUCUCCCCAAAUUAACACAUGUGAUACAUAAUUUUUCCACUCUUUAUUCAUUAAAAAUAUAACAUACACAAACUA